rnacentral:rRNA from 1 species
GAUGAACGCUGGCGGCGUGCCUAAUACAUGCAGGUCGAGCGAACAGACGAGGAGCUUGCUCCUCUGACGUUAGCGGCGGACGGGUGAGUAACGCGUGGAUAACCUACCUAUAAGACUGGGAUAACUUCGGGAAACCGGAGCUAAUACCGGAUAAUAUAUUGAACCGCAUGGUUCAAUAGUGAAAGACGGUUUUGCUGUCACUUAUAGAUGGAUCCGCGCCGCAUUAGCUAGUUGGUAAGGUAACGGCUUACCAAGGCAACGAUGCGUAGCCGACCUGAGAGGGUGAUCGGCCACACUGGAACUGAGACACGGUCCAGACUCCUACGGGAGGCAGCAGUAGGGAAUCUUCCGCAAUGGGCGAAAGCCUGACGGAGCAACGCCGCGUGAGUGAUGAAGGUCUUCGGAUCGUAAAACUCUGUUAUUAGGGAAGAACAAAUGUGUAAGUAACUAUGCACGUCUUGACGGUACCUAAUCAGAAAGCCACGGCUAACUACGUG